rnacentral:rRNA from 1 species
UACGGGGGGGGGCAAGCGUUGUUCGGAAUUACUGGGCGUAAAGGGCGCGUAGGCGGCCUGCUAAGUCGGAUGUGAAAUCCCUCGGCUCAACCGAGGAACUGCAUCCGAUACUGGCGGGCUUGAAUCCGGGAGAGGGAUGUGGAAUUCCAGGUGUAGCGGUGAAAUGCGUAGAUAUCUGGAGGAACACCGGUGGCGAAGGCGGCAUCCUGGACCGGUAUUGACGCUGAGGCGCGAAAGCAUGGGGAGCCGAACAGG